AUGUGGCAAUUGCAAUUACAAGGAGCUCUUACAUGUCAUGUAUCACACCACCUGGGAGCCCUUCGAGGGUGCCCUCAGAAAGUGCCUUGCACCUCCUGCUUAUCCUCGAAGACAAAUCUGAACUUUCUUAUCUGUGUCUCUGCUAGACAGCCUGGGACAGUGUCUGUCUCCAUGUCUAUAGGCCCCAAGCAUCCUCUGGUCAACAUCCUUACAGGAAUCCUUACCGAGAGACAUGUCGGCUAUUUUCUCAGUUUUACUGAUAAGAAAACUGCCACUGCCAGGAUGAGGUCAGGAGUGGUCGCUGCUUUGGACGUCYUGUGGUUGAUGCCAUCGGGAGACAACUGGGGCAACUGCUUUGAGAAACUCAUCAAAUUCCAGCAGACAUCUGUGGGAACCGCAAGAGCCAACACCGGAAAAACAGCUCCUCUAGGGGUAUCAAACGGUCUGUUUACUGUCUCUUUUAGCCAGGCUGAAGAUAGGAGCAGGAAAGAAAGUGUCUACAGAUUAUUUCCUCCAAGAAGAUCUUCACUUCCAACAAAAUCAUUAACAUACAGACUUCUCAAUGCAGUCUUCAAAGAUAAGGAAGAUGACUUUCUAUCAGUGCCGCUGCUGCUAGAUGUAUCCCAGAUGCUGGCUGGUGCAUUUGUUUACUACUGGAAAGAUAYGUACCUUAGGAAUGAGGACAUCAUUCACUCUACGGGCCUAAGAAAGUAG
rnacentral:lncRNA from 1 species